UACGGAGGGUGCAAACGUUGCUCGGAAUCAUUGGGCGUAAAGCGCACGUAGGCGGCUUGUUAAGUCGGGUGUGAAAGCCCCAGGCUCAACCUGGGAAGUGCACUCGAAACUGGCGAGCUUGAAUAUGGAAGAGGGUCGCGGAAUUCCCGGUGUAGAGGUGAAAUUCGUAGAUAUCGGGAGGAACACCAGUGGCGAAGGCGGCGACCUGGGCCAAUAUUGACGCUGAGGUGCGAAAGCGUGGGGAGCAAACGGG
rnacentral:rRNA from 1 species